rnacentral:rRNA from 1 species
AUACGUAGGUGGCAAGCGUUGUCCGGAAUUAUUGGGCGUAAAGCGCGCGCAGGCGGUCCUUUAAGUCUGAUGUGAAAGCCCACGGCUCAACCGUGGAGGGUCAUUGGAAACUGGGGGACUUGAGUGCAGAAGAGGAAAGUGGAAUUCCAAGUGUAGCGGUGAAAUGCGUAGAGAUUUGGAGGAACACCAGUGGCGAAGGCGACUUUCUGGUCUGUAACUGACGCUGAGGCGCGAAAGCGUGGGGAGCAAACAGGAUUAGAUACCCUGGUAGUCCACGCCGUAAACGAUGAGUGCUAAGUGUUAGGGGGUUUCCGCCCCUUAGUGCUGCAGCUAACGCAUUAAGCACUCCGCCUGGGGAGUACGGUCGCAAGACUGAAACUCAAAGGAAUUGACGGG